rnacentral:rRNA from 1 species
GGCAGCAGUGGGGAAUUUUGGACAAUGGGGGCAACCCUGAUCCAGCCAUUCUGCGUGAGUGAAGAAGGCCUUCGGGUUGUAAAGCUCUUUCAGCUGGAAAGAAACGGUACGCACUAACAUUGUGUGCUAAUGACGGUACCAGCAGAAGAAGCACCGGCUAACUACGUGCCAGCAGCCGCGGUAAUACGGAGGGUGCAAGCGUUGAUCGGAAUCACUGGGCGUAAAGCGCUCGUAGGCGGUUUGGUCAGUCAGAUGUGAAAGCCCUCGGCUCAACCGGGGAACUGCAUUUGAUACUGCCAGACUUGAGUAUCGGAGAGGGUGGCGGAAUUCCGGGUGUAGGAGUGAAAUCCGUAGAUAUCCGGAGGAACACCAGUGGCGAAGGCGGCCACCUGGACGAUAACUGACGCUGAGGAGCGAAAGCGUGGGGAGCAAACAGGAUUAGAUACCCGGGUAGUC